UAUAUCACUGCAAAAAAAAAAUCACUUAAAACGAGGACAGAGUGCGACACAUAAAGGCGCUAGUCAUCUGGAAGGCCUGCUUCCUGGGCCCUGGGGCUCUGCCAGGCCUUGUUGCUGUCAGCCCUUCCGAGCAGGAACUGGCUCAGGACGGUGGACUGGGCCGCUGGCCUGCUUGCUUCCUUUCAUGCCCUCUCCUGGCAGGGCCUGGGGCCCUUUCAUCUCCCCCGCUCCCGCCGUGCCUGCAUGGGAAGUUGUGGCAUGUUCUCCUGGUGUCCUCAGAAGCAGCUCGGAGGCCGCCGUGCUCACAGUGAUCAGCUGCCCAGAGGCCCCUUCACGCCAACCUCCCCCACAGGGCAGGCUGUGCUCGAUGCCAUUGCCAUCGCACCCCUUGGCCUCCACUGCCAGGGCAGACCCACCAGGAUUCCUGAUCAUGCAGGGAGCUGAGUGACACUGAGGCCUUAAGCUCCCCCAGUCUUGCCCCCAAAUGCAGUCACCAGCAAGUUCUCCAUCAUCCAAGUCCAAGGGCACAAUUGUGGAUGACCAUCUGAGAGCUCUGGGGAGCAAAUGGUCCAGCCUCUGCAUUUGGCUAAGAGUGCUUUCCAUGAACAACAGCCUUGAUCUGUCACACUCUGUCAUAAUUUAAAGUGAUUUUUAUUUUGCACAAAUAUAUUUUUAUUCAACAUUAAUUGUGCUUUAUCAUCAUAGCCUGUCUCUGUCUCCCUUUCUCUCCUUUAACUUGAAUAUCUGUAUCCUGAGAGGGAAACCCUUAAAUGAUUUUCUGAAAGAGACUGAAUUUCUGGGUCCAUUGCUAUCAUGGUAUCAGAACUCACACCAACAAGGCAUCAAACUGCCCUGAAGAGUUUCCUGGCAAGAAGCUUCACAACACCUUAAUCAGUACACUGUAAUAGGUCACCAUGAUAAGAUCCACCAACAAACCCACCACAGUACUUUGAUCAAAUGGUGAUGACUCUGAAAAUCUGAAUGUGUUGCUGAGGGAGUGUUGUCAUCAGGGUGAUACUUUGUGCUGGAGCCUGACUGUGCUCAGAAACUCACCUUCCUUUGGAGCAGAGACUGGAUACUUUCAUGCCAAAAGAAACUCCCAAUGGUAAUGUUGAUGCCAUCAAAUCUCAGCCACAGCCUUGCAUGUCCACCCGUACCCCAGGUCUGAGUGUGUGCACCUAGACUCUUCAAGUUGGUAUCUGAAGGCUGAGUAACAAGGCCAGACACUGCAGUCACUUCCAACCAGAACCAUGCAAUGGUCAUGCUUUGACCUACAUCCAAUCUGAUCUCACCUGUUAACUUCUAAAAAGUCUUCAGCUUGGAUAGAAGUGCAAGACUGGAACACUGGCUACUUAUUUUCCUUGUUUCUCCACUCUUCACACUACGCUGGCUUUUCACAUAUGAAAUACAACAGAUGCCAAACUCCCAGAAUUUCAGGCUCAACUAAAUCAAAUAGUUUUCUGUCCUUUACAGAUGCUUCUUCUCCUUCACAGAUGUUUGCUUCUGAGCUUAAUUUGAAAGAGCACAAUCACAAUUCUUUUCAAAGCACUUAAUCUGUUCACUAGUUGAGACUGAUCCCACAUCACCUCUCAGAAACAUUUCUUUCCUUGGACUCUUGAAGAAUCAGUUUGGACUGACUGGCAAAAGCCAGUCUUAUUGGCAAAAGCCUGGUAGGACUGGUAAGAGCCCUGAACACAUCAGAAGAGUCCUGGAGAUGUAGUUGAAAGAUACUCAAUUCUCCAAGCAGGGACUCAGGCCAAGUAUGUGAGUUCAGUGCUGAUUGUCUUCCCAGUGCUAGCUUGUCCCACAAACCGGGCACAAACCACAGAGUGGGGGAGGUCCUUGGGUGGAUUCUCGCCCUAGAGGGAAGUGUUUCUGGUUUUUGCUCCUCGACUGUCCAUUGUGCAAAAAAAACUGUGAACACAGUGAAGAACUCAAACCCUGAAGGAACAGACUGUAAGCCUUUGGAG
rnacentral:lncRNA from 1 species